UGGGGAAUAUUGCACAAUGGGCGCAAGCCUGAUGCAGCGAUGCCGCGUGAGGGAAGAAGGUUUUCGGAUUGUAAACCUCUGUCAUCAGGGACGAAAAAAGACGGUACUUGAUGAAUAAGCUCCGGCUAACUACGUGCCAGCAGCCGCGGUAAUACGUAGGGAGCAAGCGUUAUCCGGAUUUACUGGGUGUAAAGGGCGAGUAGGCGGAUUGGCAAGUUGGGAGUGAAAUGUCGGGGCUUAACCCCGGAACUGCUUCCAAAAACUGUUGAUCUUGAGUGAUGGAGAGGCAGGCGGAAUUCCCAGUGUAGCGGUGAAAUGCGUAGAUAUUGGGAGGAACACCAGUGGCGAAGGCGGCCUGCUGGACAUUAACUGACGCUGAGGAGCGAAAGCGUGGGGAGCAAACAGGAUUAGAUACCCUGGUAGU
rnacentral:rRNA from 1 species